CCGCACGCGCGCUACACUGAUGAAGGCAACAAGUAGUUCACCUUGGCCGGAAGGUCUGGGUAAUCUUCUGAAACUUCAUCGUGAUGGGGAUAGUCCUUUGCAAUUAUUGGACUUCAACGAGGAAUUCCUAGUAAGCGUGAGUCAUCAGCUCGCGUUGAUUACGU
rnacentral:rRNA from 1 species